rnacentral:rRNA from 1 species
UGGGGGAUAUUGCACAAUGGGCGAAAGCCUGAUGCAGCGACGCCGCGUGGGGGAUGAAGGCUUUCGGGUUGUAAACCUCUUUCGCUAUCGAACAAGGCCCGCUUAGGGUGGGUUGAGGGUAGGUGGAGAAGAAGCGCCGGCUAACUACGUACCAGCAGCCGCGGUAAUACGUAGGGCGCGAGCGUUGUCCGGAAUUAUUGGGCGUAAAGGGCUUGUAGGCGGCUUGUUGCGCCUGCUGUGAAAACGCGGGGCUUAACUUCGCGCGUGCAGUGGGUACGGGCGGGCUUGAGUGUGGUAGGGGUGACUGGAAUUCCAGGUGUAGCGGUGGAAUGCGCAGAUAUCUGGAGGAACACCGAUGGCGAAGGCAGGGCACUGGGCCAUUACUGACGCUGAGGAGCGAAAGCAUGGGUAGCGAACAGG